GCGGGUCGGCGCCGUCGCCAUUUUGCUGCGGGCCUCGUGGGCGCGUCCCGCGUGGGCCGGCGCCCUCGCGCCUUCUGCCGAAUGCCGGGUGCGAGGGUUUGUGGGACACGAGAGCCGGCUCUUCCAGAGCAGCGUCGCGCGGCCAUUCUGUGGCUCCCAGGGUUCCCUGAUUGCCGUGCCUGGCCCUUGUCCCAUUGUCCUCAGAGUCAACAGAACCACAGUCCUCACCGACCGCAGUGCCCUGUAGCUGUGCUGCCUGGCGCAUUGCUCUGGGGACUGCGUGCCCCCCGAGCCCCCGUAUGUUAGAAGUUGUAUGGUUUUGCUGUGAGGAGCGGUUUUCCUUGGAACGGGCUGCCUGCCUAUCUUGAACCUCAUCCCUGAGACGCGCCCGCCUCUGCCUCCAGGAUGCUGAGAUUGAAGGCGUGCACCAUCACCGCCAGGCGUGUUUCACGACGCUGAGGAUGGAGCCUCCUUAGUGGAGGGCCUGGCUGGGGGGGUUCCCGGUCGUGUGCUUGUGCCAGCCACUCCAGUUCCUCCUGAGGAGUCUCAGUUCCUGCUACUCCGUGAGGGCACUCCAUGUUGGCUUCUUCUGAGUGUAGCCUCAGACUGAGGGGAGGCAGGAAUUUAAGGGGCACUACGGGGACUUCUAUAGCUUAAUCCCACAAAAGCCAUCGCUUCUGGCCUGCUCUGUUGGCCACACCUGCCCCUGUGGUAUCCAGGAAACAGCUGUUGGCUCCGGAGAGUCAUCAAACUUAAAAGAUGAGGAAUCCAAUGGCCUCCACUCUCCAUCUUCAGUUGUGGCCCAGUUAUUUUACACAAGCACGCAUACCCUCUGGCUAUACAUCAAUCUGAAGCAAACCAAGUGUUCUUUCAAGCUCAUUUAUUUUUAUCUCUAAGGAAGAUGGAUUUGCAAUAUCAUUACCCUACAUCCAGGUAGCUGCUCUUCUAUGCAGAACUAUUCUAAAACAAAAAGCCACGUGACUAUCCCCACUCUUACUGUAUGAUGAAUUUGGCUGGCCUUCCACCUACACACAGGUGUGCCCAACGAAGUGUGUCAAGCUGGCUUUUCAGGAGGCUCAUGGUCCUCCAACUGGAUGAGCCUGGUUUAUUGAGCUCUGUGCCACCCACAAUUCCCUGGUUUGACGCUCAAAGUACAAAUCUUCCAAAGCUGCGUUUUUAUGUUUAUGCAUAUCAAUAUUUUGAAGUAGUCUCUGAACCACUUGUGUGCAGUACCCAUAAAGGUCAGAAGAGGGCAUUGCAUCCUCUGGAACUGGAGUUAGAACAGUAGUGGGUUCUGUACUGUACUGGGAAUCAAACCCAAGAUCUCUCUCAAAGAGGAGCCAGUGCUCUAUGAACUGCUGAGCCAUCUUUUUAGCCUGCCCAUGCCCAAAGAUUUUUUAUACGGUCUAGCUACAUACAUACAGUGAUUCACAUUUGAAAAAAAUCACAAAGAUCAUUAAAAGUCCAGUCAGCA